AUUGAACGCUAGCGGCAUGCCUUACACAUGCAAGUCGAACGGCAGCGGGGGAGCUUGCUCCCGCCGGCGAGUGGCGAACGGGUGAGUAAUACAUCGGAACGUACCCAGUAGCGGGGGAUAGCCCGGCGAAAGCCGGAUUAAUACCGCAUACGCCCUACGGGGGAAAGGGGGGGAUCGCAAGACCUCUCACUAUUGGAGCGGCCGAUGGCUGAUUAGCUAGUUGGUGGGGUAAAGGCCUACCAAGGCGACGAUCAGUAGCUGGUCUGAGAGGACGACCAGCCACACUGGGACUGAGACACGGCCCAGACUCCUACGGGAGGCAGCAGUGGGGAAUUUUGGACAAUGGGCGAAAGCCUGAUCCAGCAAUGCCGCGUGUGCGAAGAAGGCCUUCGGGUUGUAAAGCACUUUUGUCAGGGAAGGAAUCGUUUGGGAUAAUACCCCGAGCAGUUGACGGUACCUGAAGAAUAAGCACCGGCUAACUACGUGCCAGCCGCCGCCGUAA
rnacentral:rRNA from 1 species